UUUCGGUCUCCAGUAUGCUUUAGCCAAUCACAGCCGUAGAGCUUGAUUGGCUUUUGUAUCUCCCAAUCAGAUUCCCAGCUUGCGCAUACCGCCAGCCUCAUCUUUGACGUCUGUGUGAUUGGAGUUUCUUUCGAUAUCGCUGUUGCCAAACGGACCGUACACUGGAGCAACCAUGGUGAAGAUAUUCAUCGGUAACCUCUCUCCAGAAACGACGAGAGAGGACAUUGAAGAGCUCUUUGUCAAAUACGGCAUAGUAACGGAAUGCGCGAAGUACAAAAACUAUGCGUUCGUCCACAUGGAAGACCGCAAGUCAGCCACCAAAGCUAUCCGUGAGCUCCAUCUGCACAAGCUGAACGGCAGGUCCAUCAAUGUGGAGCCCAGCAGAGGGAAGAACCAGGGUCCUGUCAAACUCCACAUUGCCAACGUUGAAAAGGGCUUUGAUAAAGAGCUGCGGGACCUGUUUGAGGAGUUCGGCACAGUCACGGAGUGCUCCAUUGUCAAGAACUUUGCAUUUGUUCACAUGCCUCAUUAUGAAGAGGCCAUGGAUGCCCUGGAGGGCCUGGAUAACUUAGAGUUUCAGGGAAAGCGUAUUCAUGUUCAGGUAUCAAAAAGCAGACCCAGAGGGGGUCCUGAGGAGGAGGAGGAACAAUAUCCACCCCCACCAGUUAGAGGAGGCUACUAUCCUCCAUAUUACCCAAUGCCAAGGCCUGAGCCCCCCUACAGAGGGCGCCUUUCUGCUUAUCCCCCUCCCCCACCUCCCCCUCCUCCCCUACCGCCACCUCCUCCUAUGAGACGAGCAGCAUACCCCGACCAUGGUUACAGUGACAGAGCGCCCUACGGGUCGGUGGAUUACUAUGAGAAGUACAGGGCCCGUCCUUUUACCGCGGCGACAAUCUACGACGAUAGGCGUGCCAUACCGCCUCCUCCGCCUCCUUCAUCGGCUCUGGUUAGAGAGCGCCUCGGGGCGACGCCGUCAGUCGACCCAUAUGAGCGCCGCGCCCUCCCGACCCCUGCUGCUUACGCCGCAAGGGACCGGAGCCCGAUAAGGAGAAUCCCCCCUCCACCUGCCCCGGCGGCUGGGAAUGGGUAUUCCUACGAGCGCUCUCGACUCUCGCCGAUGUCCAGGGCUCCAUUGUACGCGGCUCCCCGUACCAGGGAACCCUAUGCUGGGAGAGUUCCUCCCCCACUGCCACCUCGCUACACAGGCUAUUAGAGGGCCAUAGAGUUACGCAAGGUACUUAAACCGUCUACAGGAGAAGCUAGCCCUGGGUGAGUCAUCCCUGAUGCCCAGCAGGAGGACUCGGAAAACUCCCAUCGGUGUCCUAGAGAAGUCCUAAGGAAGAAGAUGGAUUGCGCUGUCAGGAGUCCAGCUUUGUCUCCAGUGGCUCUUGAUUUGUCUGUUUACUGAUUGGAAAAAUGGUUCCAAACUAACCAACAGUCAAAAAAAAUAUGAGAUUGGUCAAUAUUCUGAGGAGAAUUGCUCAUCCUGUGGGAGUUUGGUCCAUCUGGAAGGGAAUUUCCAAGGAGGUUCCAGAAAACCUGCGUCGCCUAUUCACAAAAUGAUGAGUUCAGGGACAAGUUGUGGAGGACAAGUUUUUUUAAUCUCAUGUGACAUCAUAUUGUAAAGAAAAAUCAUGUAUCACACUUUGUAUCAAAGAUUCCUACUGUCUGAAUUUUCUUGGUUUUUUGUUGUAGUUAUAGCUUUACAAACGUUUGAGAUUGGAAAUAAUACAAACCAACACUUCGUAUUAACAUCUUGUUAAAACUUUACAACUUACUCAUUUAAAAUGUGAUUACCAGUGUAAAAAGUUUAGCCUCAUAUUCUAAUGUUAAUAUAAACUGUUUCCUCAUACACUUUGAAAUGUAACACAUUCCAUUAAAUUUGUUUUGGUUAAUGUUUUUGGAUGUGUUGCUAAUUGCUAAUAUGGUCACAAAGGCAGUUUUCAUCCUGAAAUUGAAGCUCAUUCUCUCAUGUCGUGUGACUAAAAGUGGAACAGUUUCUUUUUUCCAGUUCCUCUUUUGGUAAAAUCUGUUUAUCAAGGAAACUAUUAAAGUUUAUCUCUUACAGGUUUUUACGGUGGAACACAUUCCAGACAAAACUGCCUCGUGUUGUUAAUGGAAUUGACGGCUCUUGUCAGUUUCAUUCUAUGCUCAAUUUUAGGAAUGUUAUGGCAUUUUACGUCAUAGCAUAAGAUGCUAAUUUCUUUUAGCUAAAUAAACGUCGUGUAAGAGAAGUAAAUAUUCAGAAGCAGAAUUUUGUAUUGAUUGACAGCUAUUGGAAUGUAAGAGGAAAUGUUAUAGGAUUUUACAAUUAUUUAUUAAUUAUGAUAUUAUUUAAAGUCAAUUAUUACUGUUAUUCAGAGUAAAACAUUCAGUGUAUUUUUUAAGCUUGUAUGUUAACUAAAAAUUUACUGUAAAACUCCCAUCUCUAGUGACACUGUGUUGCUUUCUAAAGGUUUCAUCACUGUAAUCUGAACCUAAAGAUAAGGAAUGUAGUUUUAUCUCUUAAAGGAUCUAGAACAACAAGUUUUCCUAGAUCUAGAACAAUACCUUAACCAAGUUCAGAAGUUGGCCAAGGUGUUGUAAGGAAUCCCUGAGCAAUAUGUGUGAUUUGUUCAAGUUUUGGAACGAGUUCAAGAUAGAUGUAGGAAAUAUUAAUUAUUUUGUGGCUAAGC